AAAAAGGGGUGCUCUGCUUUGGCAGGUGCUGAGAAUAAACCCAUUGAACCUGAUCGGGUAAUGCCGGCGAAGGGAAAGAUAUCAU
rnacentral:ncRNA from 1 species